GACGAACGCUGGCGGCGUGCUUAACACAUGCAAGUCGAACGGAAAGGCCCUGCUUUUGUGGGGUGCUCGAGUGGCGAACGGGUGAGUAACACGUGAGUAACCUGCCCUUGACUUUGCGAUAACUUCAGGAAACUGGGGCUAAUACCGGAUAGGAGCUCCUGCUGCAUGGUGGGGGUUGGAAAGUUUCGGCGGUUGGGGAUGGACUCGCGGCUUAUCAGCUUGUUGGUGGGGUAGUGGCUUACCAAGGCUUUGACGGGUAGCCGGCCUGAGAGGGUGACCGGCCACAUUGGGACUGAGAUACGGCCCAGACUCCUACGAGAGGCAGCAGUGGGGAAUAUUGCACAAUGGGCGGAAGCCUGAUGCAGCAACGCCGCGUGCGGGAUGACGGCCUUCGGGUUGUAAACCGCUUUCGCCUGUGACGAAGCGUGAGUGACGGUAAUGGGUAAAGAAGCACCGGCUAACUACGUG
rnacentral:rRNA from 1 species